rnacentral:rRNA from 1 species
AACCUGCCUUUGAGAAGGGGAUAACUGUCCGAAAGGAUAGCUAAUACCCUAUAUUGCCUUUUGUCACUAAGGCAAAAGGUGAAAGCGAGGCUGUCAAAGGCUUCGACUCAAAGAGGGGUUCGCGUCCUAUCAGGUAGUUGGUGGGGUAAUGGCCUACCAAGCCAAUGACGGGUAGCUGGUCUUAGAGGAUGAUCAGCCACAGUGGGACUGAGACACGGCCCGCACCCCUACGGGGGGCAGCAGUGGGGAAUCGUGGGCAAUGGGCGCAAGCCUGACCCCGCAAUGCCGCGUGAGGGAAGAAGCCCUUCGGGGUGUAAACCUCUGUCAGAUGGGAAGAUGGGACUAGGGGCUAAUACCUCCUGGUCUUGACAGUACCAUCAGAGGAAGGGACGGCUA